rnacentral:lncRNA from 1 species
UAUGGAUUCGGCUGCCCUUGUGGGGAGGCUUCACUGAACUGUAUGAACUCACAGACAAAUUCCUUUCCAAUUUGUGUGCGCUUGGUUUCCUUCAGCUGUCUUGCUGCUGUGGCCAAGACUUAAAGUACUAUGUUGAAUAGGUAUGGAGAGAAUGAAUGCACAGCUUUGUCUUGUUCCUGAUUUUUGUGGAACUGCUUUGAGUUUCUCUCUAUUUAAUUUGAUGUUGGAUAUGAGCUUGCUAUAAAUUGCCUUUAUCAUGUUGAUGUAUAUUCUUGUCUCUCCAGGACUUUUAUUAUGGAAGGAUGUUGGAUUUUGUCAAAGGCCUUUUCAGUAUCUAAUAAAAUAAUCAUGUGGUUUUCUCUUUCAGUCUAUUUAUCUGGAGGGUCAUAUUUAUCCAUUACAUAUGUUGUGCCAUCUCUGCAUCUCUGAAAUAAAGCCAACCUGAUCAUGGUUGAUGAUUGUUUUGCUAUGUACUUGUAUUUUAAGUAUUUUACUGAAUUUUUUUGCAUCUAUGUUCAAAAGGAAAAUUGGUCCAUAGUUUUAUUUGUUGGGUAUUUCUGUAGUUUGGGUAUCAGAGUAACUGGCCCCAAAACAAAUUGGACAAAGUUUCUUCUGUUUCUAUUUGGUGGAAUAGUUUGAGAAGUAUUGGCAUUAAUUCUUCUUUGAAAAUCUGGUAGAAUUCUGUGCUAAAACCAUCUGGCCUUAGGUGUUUGUUUGUGUUUGUUUGUUGUUCUUUUUUUUAAAGAUUUUAUUUAUUAUUUAUUUUAUAUGUAAGUACACUGUAGCUGUCUUCAGACACACCAGGAGAGGGAGUCAGAUGUCAUUAAGAAUGGUUGUAAGCCACCAUGUGGUUGCUGGGAUUUGAACUCAGAACCUUCGGAAGAGCAGUCAGUGCUCUUAACUGCUGAGCCAUCUCUCCAGCCCCGUUUUUUUGUUGUUCUGUCUUCAAGUGCUGGGAUAACAUGUUUGUCUCCAGACAUUGACUUCAGGAGAAUUAUCCUUUAUUCAUUCAUUCAUUCAUUUUUGGUUUUUCGGGAGAGAAUUAUCCUCUUAAUCUUGUUUUUGGGUUUGUUUUGCUUUGGUAGACUUAAUUACUGCCUCUAAAUAGAAGUAAUAAAUAGGGGUUAUAGGUCUGUAUUUAUACAUCAAUAAAUUAUCCUCUUUUUUUUUUUUUUAGAUUUUCCAAUAUGAUGGAGUACAGGAUUUUAAAGUGUGUCCUUAGUGAUUCUUGAAUGUCCUUAGUGUCUGUUAGGUCCCCCUUCUCAUCUCUGAUUUUGUUAAUUUGCAUAUACUCUCUAUGCCUUAUUGUUAAUUUAGCUAAGGUUUUGUCAGUCUUAGUGAUGUUCCUCUCAAAGAACCACUCUUAGUUUCAUUAAUUCUUUGUAUUAGUUUUGUUAUUGUUUCUAUUUUAUUGAUUUCAGUCCUGAGUUUGAUUGUUUCUUGCCAUCUUCUCCUUUUGGGUAUGGUAUGAUUUCUUCUUUUAGUUUUAGAGAUUUCAGGUGUUUUCUUACUAGUCUGAGAUCUCCCCAGUUUUUUGCUUUUUGUUUUUAUUUUGUUUUUGUUUUGAAUUUAGUUCUUGUAAUGUAGGCACCUAGUGCUUUGAACUCGCCUGGUAGAACCACUUUCAUUGUGCCCCAUAAGUUUGGAUCUGUAUUUUUCAUUCAUUUGUACAAAGUCUUUAAUUUCCUUCAAAUUUCUGUCUUGAUCCAUUUUUCAUGCAGUAGUGUGUUCUGUGUUGUUCAGCUUCCAUGGGUCUGUAAGCUUUCUCUUGUUUCUGUUGUUGAUACCAGCUUGAAUCCAUGGAGGUCAUGUAGGAUGCAGGGUAUUAUUUCAGGGUUGAGACUUGCUUUGUAUCCAACUAUGUGGUCAAUUUUAGAGAAAGCUCCAUGAGUUGCCAAGAAGGAAGUGUAUUCUUUUUGGAUGGAAUGUUCAUAUACUUUUUGGAAGGAAGUAUAUUCUGUCUGGAUGGAAUGUUCUUUACGUUUUUGCUAGGUUCAUUUGGCUUAUGACAUCAUUUGGCUCCAGCAUUUCUCUGUUUAGUUUUUGUCUGGAUGACCUGUUAAGUGAUGAGAGUAGAGUAUUGAAGUCACCCACUAUCACUCACUGUUUGAGGAUCAAUAUAUGAUUUAAGCUGUAGUAAUAUUUUAUGAAUUUGGGUGCCCUUGUGUUUGGUGCAUAAAAGAAUUGCAAUGGUCUCAUGGAGGGUUUUUCCUUUGAGUAUGUAGUGUCUUUCCCAAUUUCUUCUGAUUACUUUGAAGUCUAUUUAAUGGCUACACCAACUUGCUUCUUAGGUCCAUUUGCUUGGAAUAUCUUUUUGCAUCGUUUUACUCUGAGGCGAUGUCUAUCCUUGAUGUUAAGGUGUGUUUCUGGGAUGCAUCAGAAAGAUGGAUCCUGUUUUCUAAUCCAAUCUAUCAGCCUGUUGUUUUUGUUUUUGUUUUUAAAUUGGGGAAUUGAGGCCAUUGAUGUUGGCAGGUAUUAAUGAACGGCGUUUAUUCAUUUCUGUUAUUUUUUGUCAUGGUAUACCUCUACCUUUGCUUCGCUGGUGUGGGGUUAUUUAUUCCUUGUGUUUUCUUGGGUAUGGCUAACCUCUUUAGGUUGAAGUGUUCUUUCUAAUAUCUUCUGUAAGGCUAGAUUUGUAGAUAGAUACUGCUUAAAUCUGGUUUUAUCAUAGAAUAUCUUAUUUUCCCAUCUACUUUAACUUUUUGUUGAUUCUUUGUGAAUUUCCCAUUAUGUACCCCAAUCCCACUCAUCUCCCCAUCCUUCCACAUCCUCCCUCUCCACCCUUGCAACCUCCUCCC